CGUAAAUCUUAAAGCACAUCAGUUCCACUGUAUUCAACGCGUCGUAUACGCGUGGAACACGUUUUGACUUCACAUUUGCAUGUAUACUGUUCAAAUUUGGCGCGCGUUCUCUUUCUUCGCUUCUCUUCUCACACGAAGAGGCACUGUUCGCGUUGCGUGAUUACAGAGUCAACGGUGGAUCUCUCGUACACGUGUGUUACGCGUGAAAAGGAAAAAAAGAGACCAUUGACGUAAUCUGAUUGCACUAGUUUUCGUUUCGACGACGACGACGAACGACUGCGAUUCCCCGACGAACUUUUACUUCGCGUUAACACGCGAGGACUUUUUCGCGUUCUCGAUCGCGGCGACAGAUGACAGCGAAAUGCACGUCUCGAGUGUGUCGCUUACGCGCGAUACGGCCCGCCACGAGUCGACGUGUGUCAGGGCCUUCGACUCCGCAGGAGCACAGACGGAAACGAAAGACUACACAACAUGACUAACGCGGCAGUUCGAGAAGCGAACAGCAGACGUGAACUAUGCGUGUGCGUGUUCACGUGCACGCGUGCCGGGGAGAGGGGAGAUGAGAAUGGAGGAACCGACAGAGAAGGCGAGAUAGAGAGAGAGAGAGAGAGAGAGAGAGAGAGAGAGAGAGAGAGAAAAGAGGGACAGAACGGCGACGGAACGCCUGGAUAUCCACCACGCGUUAACCAAUUCCGCGAGCAUCGCGCGUGCGUGUGCGCGCGUGUACGGGCGGACGUGAAUGUGUGCAGAGAAGCGUAUCCUCCCGUCGAGCGUGGAACGGACGAAAGCGUCGAGCUGUCAGCGCACCCCACCCCGAAAGCCCCUUUGAAACCAACCCCACCCAUCGUGACGAAACCCCCGCCUUCCCUCUCCGUGUCGCAGGCUCUUUCCCUUGACUAGUCGUUUCUCCAUCCCUCUUCGGACGAUCCCCCCUAACCGUGACAACAUCGUGGAACUGUGUGUGCCUUGCACGAAAGCGAAAGUAACACGAGCUCGUAUCGACGCGGAUAGAAAUUACCUCAAGGAAUAUCGCUAUAAAUGAAAUCCGAUUCAUAAGCUGUAUUUUCGUAUUGGAAUUGGACGCUUAUCUUAAUUUUCGCGCGAUAUGAAAUAGAAAACGAGAGAGAGAGAGAGAGAGAGAGAGAGAGAGAGAGAGAGAGAGAGAGAGAGAGAGAGAAAGAGAGAGAGAGAUAAUGAGGAGAAUGGAAAUAAAAGGGAUAAGAAGAAAUAUCGGGGAGAAAUACGAAAAUACGAGAAGUACGUACGAAUGUCAGAAAAGCAACUUGGUCCCUUUCGUUUCCACCGACGCGAACGAAUCAUAAUUCUUAUUCACCACCGGCUCGAAAUCGUCCCCUCUGCGGUACUUUGUCCGGUCUUCUACUUCGGCUUCAGUUUUGCCCAUUUCCUUUCCGACCCAUUCCCCGCCCCUUCCCCCUUUCGCAACGAAGCGUAAAGACAGAUCGGAACAACCGCAGUAACAAGAAGAUCUAGCAAAAUUGUUGCUUUUCAAUUGUCGCAUUAAAAUCAAAUUUUGCAAAAGGAGUCAAGUUUGUUAAAUCAUUAAAUAAAAAAUAUUACAUUUCCCAAAAUAUUUAAAUGCUCUUCGUGUCCUUUUGGUUUCAUUUUCCCUGCUAUCGACGCGUGACCAAGUCUCGGCUUCUUGAAAUGUAAGAAUGUCAGCCGGCGGUCGAAGGGCCGGCUCUAUAAUAGCUUAGGAACAGGUAUCGUGAUGAAACGCGCGCGUGUGUGCGUGUGCCCGUGAAUGAAGGAGUGUAUCUACGGCUAACACGUUCGAAAAUCCGAGGGUUUAUCAUUGACGGCCAACGAACAGUCCGCCAUUGUCCACGGCUGACAUCCAGAGGCUGACAUUUUGAUUUGUCCGAGAUCCUACGAGAGUGGAAAUUUUUUUCGAAGAAAAUGGAGUUGGCCUGCGUCCGAGCGGCGAAGUGAUGACUUUAUCCAAUCGACUCCAUUUCUCAUCCGCAUUCGUUCUCUACCCGCAGGCUGACCCGCAGUCCCAACCAGGGAAGAGAAGGAACCGGCCGCUCCCUCCUGUACGUUGCACGAGAGGAACGAGAGGUACCGUAGAUGAUAUCCUGCCUGCCGACGAACUUCGAACAGCCGACCUCUAACGUAACCGCACGCACAUCAACCAUACGUUCCUUCUGACUCGUUGAUCGACCCGAUCGAUACCUGUUCCGGUAUUUCAGAAGAGUUGGAAAAUAAUUGCCCCUUGAUCGAGGGUCGAUCGUUAAUGUGUGCAAUCUUUUUGUACCGCACGUUGGUGAGUCUCUAUAGAAAGUGUUUUAUAUAUUUUACCAUCGAUUUUGUUAACGAUAAUUAAUAUCAAUAAUUAAACAAUUGUAGAAGAUUUAAUCCCGUUUUUGUGUGUAGAUCAUAAAAAUUUCAUGAUUAUAUAUUUUAAAAAUAAAGUUAAUAAUAAAUUAAAAUUGAUUUUGAUACAUUUAUGUAAUAUAUCAACACACAUAUACACAUAUGCGUUGCAAUAAAUUAAGAAGAAUAAUGAAGAGUUUACUAAUCUAAUAAAAUAUGCAUGGGAAACCGAUUGACGAGAAAUCUGAGAAAUAAAUGAUUUACAAUUACACACGAGCACGUAGAGUAACCGGAAGCACCCUUGUUAGAAAUGGUAGUCGUAUAUAUGUCGAAGAAAGGACUUAGUAGUGUAUCCUUACGACUCCCCACGGCCCACUUAUUACGCUGAUUCUCUUACGAGGCACAAUCAUCUAAAGUAUUUUGAUCAUUACCGUAUCAAACUGAUUCGAUUAAUAAUAGAACUAAGGAUAUUCUACAAAGACAAAAAUUAA
rnacentral:lncRNA from 1 species